rnacentral:misc_RNA from 1 species
UGUUUUUAAGACCUUAGCGCUGGUAAACAGAAUAUGGACAUAAUUUUGGGCUCACAUUGCUUUGAAAUCAUCGUCUCCCUUGUUUUUGACCUUGGAGAAUAGCUUGGAAGGCGCCGCAUGUGUAUGGCAGAAGGUGAAACCAAGGCAACUCAUGUCAAAAGAAGGCGCAGAGAUUCAGCUGCAGUUGCACUUGGGGUUGAUGAAAAUCAUAGUCAGCAGCUGCCACAGCAACAAACUGAUCAAACUUCUGCUUCUACCACUGUGAAAAGAAGUUCAAGAUUUCGCGGCGUUAGCAGGUCAAUUAAAGAAACUUUUAUAUUACAUAACCUCUCUUCUAAAAGAGUCACUAACAUAGAUAAAAUUGAACAGACAUAGAUGGACAGGUAGAUUUGAGGCUCACCUGUGGGAUAAGCUCUCUUGGAAUGUUACACAGAAGAAGAAAGGAAAGCAAGGUUGAUAAUUUUAGAUUAUUUUACUUUUCUUGCAAUUGUCCAUUUUAAUUUCAUUUCCAAACGCUCACAUUUUGUUUAAUUUAUAAUCAUGAACUGGAUUGUGAUUGGAAACUGAUUCCGGGACUCAACAGUUUACCUUGGUGAGUACUCUUAACAAGUACUUUGUUUAGGCUCUUUAGUUAUAUAUCUACUUCAUGGACACAGUGACUAAAUUAUCUUGAAUUUAUCAGGAGCUUAUGAUGAAGAAGAAUCUGCAGCAAGAGCAUAUGAUUUAGCUGCAUUGAAGUAUUGGGGAACAUCAACUUUUACCAAUUUUCCGGUACUUAACUCAUAAAUAUGUGAAACUCAUAUCUAUAUUUGCAUAUUCAGAGAAUUGCAUAAUAUAAAUGACAUAAUUUGACAUCCUAGAUGCAAUUUUGCAGAUAUCAGAUUAUGAGAAAGAGAUUGAGAUAAUGCAAACAGUAACAAAAGAGGAAUAUUUGGCCUCUUUGAGGAGGUAGGGCUUCAUAAACCAUGUAUGUACCUUUCUGCUGAUAGUAAUCCAUGUCUACUUUCUCUAACAUUCUCUGGAUUUUCUGGCUACAGAAAGAGCAGUGGCUUUUCAAGAGGGGUAUCCAAGUACAGGGGUGUUGCAAGGUGAGUUUCUUCUUGACUUGAUAAGCUGACUUCUCAGCUAUCACAAAUGGAUAGCAAAUUCUAACUGUUCUUUUAUGGGAUAAUAUAUAUAUGCAGGCACCACCACAAUGGGAGAUGGGAAGCAAGAAUAGGAAGAGUUUUUGGAAACAAAUAUCUUUACCUCGGCACCUACAGUGUGUUACGCCUAAAUCAUUCUUCCAAUUUCUUGUGAUUAAUAUUUGUGCUUGGAUGAAAUUUGAUACACAUAAGCCAAAGCCAAAAAGAAAUAGAAGAAACAAUAACUUGAUAUUUCAUCACAGGCACACAAGAGGAGGCUGCUCGGGCCUACGACAUCGCUGCAAUUGAGUACAGAGGGAUUAAUGCAGUGACCAACUUUGACUUGAGCACUUACAUCAGAUGGCUGAAGCCAGGAGUAGCUGUCCAAGUUGCAGCAAAUGAAACAGAGACAGUUAUAGAUCCUCAGACAUUGCCAUCCACUAAUAGCUACAUUGCAAGAGAAGAAUCUAAACCUUCAUUCCUCAGCACUACUCAGUUCAGUUCAGAUUACCUGGACUCCCCUCAAAAACAAGAGGUUUUCCAAAACAAUAUCCCUGUUAGCCCUUGCAACAAAGCUUCAUCACCCUCUGCCCUUAGUCUCCUCCUUCGAUCUUCCAUAUUUAAGGAACUAGUGGAGAAGAAUUCCAAUGUCUCCGAGGAUGAUAAUGAUGGGGAAGAGACAAAGAACCAACCACAAAUAGGCAGUGAUGAUGAGUUUGGUGGGAUCUUUUACGAAGGAAUUGGCGACAUCCCAUUUGCAUACUCCAACAAAGAAAGCUUAGAUUUGCAAGAAAGAGAACUUCACUUCGUUUUUUGAUCAGAAAAGGAAGUGGACUUGGUACAGCAAUCUGUAAAUUCCUCCAUUUUGUCAAUUAGACAGUAAUUGCAGGUGCUUAAAAAUCUGCCGUGCUUUCUGUAUUUGUGGAUUACAGGUUCCUUCUGUUAAUAUGCAAGACCUUUUUUUUUUUUUUUUUU